UGUAUAAUGGGUCAGCGACUUAUAUUCUGUAGCAAGGUUAACCGAAUAGGGGAGCCGAAGGGAAACCGAGUCUUAACUGGGCGUUAAGUUGCAGGGUAUAGACCCGAAACCCGGUGAUCUAGCCAUGGGCAGGUUGAAGGUUGGGUAACACUAACUGGAGGACCGAACCGACUAAUGUUGAAAAAUUAGCGGAUGACUUGUGGCUGGGGGUGAAAGGCCAAUCAAACCGGGAGAUAGCUGGUUCUCCCCGAAAGCUAUUUAGGUAGCGCCUCGUGAAUUCAUCUCCGGGGGUAGAGCACUGUUUCGGCAAGGGGGUCAUCCCGACUUACCAACCCGAUGCAAACUGCGAAUACCGGAGAAUGUUAUCACGGGAGACACACGGCGGGUGCUAACGUCCGUCGUGAAGAGGGAAACAACCCAGACCGCCAGCUAAGGUCCCAAAGUCAUGGUUAAGUGGGAAACGAUGUGGGAAGGCCCAGACAGCCAGGAUGUUGGCUUAGAAGCAGCCAUCAUUUAAAGAAAGCGUAAUAGCUCACUGGUCGAGUCGGCCUGCGCGGAAGAUGUAACGGGGCUAAACCAUGCACCGAAGCUGCGGCAGCGACGCUUAUGCGUUGUUGGGUAGGGGAGCGUUCUGUAAGCCUGCGAAGGUGUGCUGUGAGGCAUGCUGGAGGUAUCAGAAGUGCGAAUGCUGACAUAAGUAACGAUAAAGCGGGUGAAAAGCCCGCUCGCCGGAAGACCAAGGGUUCCUGUCCAACGUUAAUCGGGGCAGGGUGAGUCGACCCCUAAGGCGAGGCCGAAAGGCGUAGUCGAUGGGAAACAGGUUAAUAUUCCUGUACUUGGUGUUACUGCGAAGGGGGGACGGAGAAGGCUAUGUUGGCCGGGCGACGGUUGUCCCGGUUUAAGCGUGUAGGCUGGUUUUCCAGGCAAAUCCGGAAAAUCAAGGCUGAGGCGUGAUGACGAGGCACUACGGUGCUGAAGCAACAAAUGCCCUGCUUCCAGGAAAAGCCUCUAAGCAUCAGGUAACAUCAAAUCGUACCCCAAACCGACACAGGUGGUCAGGUAGAGAAUACCAAGGCGCUUGAGAGAACUCGGGUGAAGGAACUAGGCAAAAUGGUGCCGUAACU
rnacentral:rRNA from 1 species